rnacentral:lncRNA from 10 species
AUGAAUGAAUCAGAACCAUAUUUUGCAAUUUCUCUUAACAUUCAAAUCAUUUUCCCAAUUAGAAAAGAAAAGUAUUUGACGAACUGUAUUUGGGCUUCAUCAAAUUUGCAAUGUUUCAAGAACAUAUCAAGAUGCUUGGUGAAAAUAAACAGCAGCUGGAUUUGCCCUUUCCUGCCACACACACACAGAGUUUGUUGGAAGUCAUUCAUAAAUCCUUACUGCUCACUGACUCUGGGAACAGAUGGCUCUUGGAGGCCACAUUGAUGGCCAAGAAAUCGUCUCAUUAUUAUCAUAGAAAGCAUCUUCCACUCUUCAUUUAGAUGAAUGAAUGGUGUACUGGUAUUUCUAUCCCAAAGAGGUGCUAAUUAAAAUGGAAGGAUUUUCUCAUACAAAUUAAAUCUUGAUGAGAAUCAGAGCAUCACCCAGACUCCAAGAUUUCCAGUCUCCCCUCUUGAGAUACUUGAGUUUAAUCUCUAAUUUUAAAUUUCUUAUUUGAAACUAGACAUGUUGCCCCAUCUGUCAUCCGACCUUCCAAACAUCCAUCAUCAACUAUAUCACAGAUGCUAGAGGAAAAGUGGGAGAGGAACUAGCUCUUAUUGAGUGCAAGAUCAUUUAUAUGCAUUAUUACAUCUUUUUUACAUAAAGAUGGAAAUGCUUUGGCAAUAGUGAGUAGAUUUGUGCUAAUCAAAUCAACUAGCAAAGUAUCAAGUUAUGAUAUUAGUAAGCUGAUUUGAAAUCCUGGCUAAGUUGACUAGUUUCAGCAACUCAAUACAGGCUUGAGACAAGAAAAAUCAUGUAAUUUGAGAAAGUUUUGUGUUACAAAAGUCUUGAUUUAUAGAAGCAGUUUGUGGGUAACAAUGCUAAGAAGACAAAUUGAGGUAAUACUGUGAAGAGC